AUGCAUCAUCCAAAACUGGGGAAUAAUAAGGGGAUAGACGAUGGAUCCAGAUACACGCAUACGGCUGCAGGGAUGGGCGAUAGCUUGGACUACUCGGUUUGCUUGGAAGCACAAGAGCGCCCUAGGUACGAACUUACCGGACAGAGGAUGAAGAGGACUCAGGCUGAAUCGACUGACCUGGACUGCAGCAUGCACGGCGGCGGCAGGGGCAGCAGGGUGUCCGGCGGCUACAACGGUUACUGGAAUUGGAGCUCCCCGGACACCGGAUACUCGAGCUCCCCCGUGGUGUCGGCGGCGGUGUCGGCGAGCAAGAGCAACGUCGUCGUCACGAGGAGGCUACGCGGCCGGACGCUCAACGGCAAGCUCUACACCCUCCGGAGCGUCGUCCCAAACAUCACCAAGAUGGAUAAGGUGUCCAUCCUCAGGGACGCCAUCGAGUACAUCCAUCAGCUGCAGGAGCAGGAGCGCCGGAUGCUCGCCGAGAUAUCCCUCCUUGAGUCGGCGGCGGAGGUACAUGGCCAUGCCCAGCUGCUUGCUGCUACACUACAGCCCGUCCUUCCUAACGGCUGCGCCGGACACGCCAUGCCGCCGGUGAAGAAAACGAGGGGCCCCCUGUCAUUCCCGUCCGCGGUGACCCCCGCCCCCGCAUCCGCCAUGGCCGUCGCAUCUCCGCCGGUCGAGAUUGUCGAGGUGAGGGUGACGGGCGCUGGCGAUAAGCUGCUGGUGGUGAGCGUCGCGUGCCGCCACCGGAAGGACGCCAUGGCCAAGGUGUGCCGCGCGUUCGAGAGCCUCCGGCUCGCCGUCAUCUCGGCUAACGUCACGGUUGCGUCCGGGACGGUGACGCACACCGCGCUCCUACAGAGACAGGAAAUACAUAAGAGCGAAAUGAAGGGAUUGAUCGAGACUGCAAUCGCCCAUGUUGAUGUCGCAGGAAGUAGUAUUAGUUACUAA
rnacentral:rRNA from 1 species